rnacentral:lncRNA from 10 species
AUUGUAUGUUACUUUUUUUCUUUUCUCUGGAUGAUUUUAGGAUCCUUUCUUUAUCCUUGACUUUUGGAAGUUUGAUUAUUAAAUACCUUGAGAGAUGGGGUUUCACCGUGUUAGCCAGGAUGGUCUCGAUCGCCUGACCUCGUGAUGUGCCUGCCUCGGCCUCCCAAAAUGCUGGGAUUACAGGUGUGAGCCAGUGCACCUGGCCGAGGAAAAAAGGAAGGACAGGAACUAGCCUCAAUCCAGCCCAAUUAGCCUUCCCCCAAGUGCAACGAGGCCAAUGACAACCAAUGAUGAAGGCAGUGUUUACAAGGACCAAUCUCUUGACGGAUCAUUUAAAAACUCUUUAAAGAUUCAGGGAAACCACCCAGCCAGAAUGUUGAUAUCAAGACAUGAUGGAUCUACUGUGUCUCCAAGCUUUGGAAUCCCAAAGCCCAAAGAGGAAGUGAGUUGUAGAAUUGUUGUCAUCCUUUCUCUACGACUCCAAGAGAAACUUUAUACUGGAGGAAGAAUAUUCUACCACUUUGGGAUGCUUCCAAAGAAAUGGGAUACCAAAGGAGUGAACUUCAGGUCAUUGGAAGUGGCCAAGCUGGAGGGCGACCUAUGGAGACAUGCAGGUUGUGAAGUCUCAUGUCCUAUGAAGAGAAAAUAGGGGGAGGAAGGGAGAAGAAGAAGAACAACAGACAAAAGAACAAUCCUGGAAAAUCAAUAGGCCACAUUACUCUGAAAUCCAUACAUCAGCAGGAAGACAGUGCUGCAGCAACUCUCUGUGCAUACAAAUAUUUGUCAGUAUCUCUGACAUUUCCUGGGAAUGGAUUCCUAGAAAGGAGAUUACUAAAUUAAAGGAAGUGAAUUUCUACGGAGCUUGAUGAUUCCUGCCAAACUGCUUUCCAGAAGUGAUGUAUCAGUUUUCAUUCCUAUUAACAUUGGGCUCAGGCCAGCAUUGAAUAUUAUAUUUUAAAUCUUUUCAAAGAGACAUUUCUUGACUAUCUCUGAUACUGGUGAUCAUUACUGGCUCAGGAAUUGGAUGUAAAGUGAGCUAGCUGGACUGGUGACACCUUCCCUUUACCUCCAUGGGUUCCUACACCUUCAGAAGCUGCACCCUUGAUGAAAGGGGACAACAUGUUCUGGUGAGGAAUCUAGCAUCCUUCAGUCAAGAGCUUGGGGGAAGUAUGUUGCUUAAAAAUUAAAUACAUCCUGAGUAAACACGUUACGCACAAGAAAAAGUACUGUUCCUAUAUCAGAAAUAUAGAAACGGAAAUAGAAAGCAAGUGACUUUCCCAGGUAUAGCUAGCAAGUCCCUAGCAGGGUCACACUUAGCAUUUACUUUCCUAAAAUUUUCCAUCAUGAUUUAAGACAUUUCAAAGCAUCUAUAUUGUGCCAAAAAUUAGAUUCUGCAUCACACAUAGGAAAGCACAAUUUUUGGCUUAUUUCUUAAAUACUAAAUCACAUUAAUUGGCUGUUUCCCAUUGCAAAUAUUUGAAUUAAUAAGGAUCUUUUUAUCACAUGUAAUUUUAAAUGAUCUUUUAGUUUUUCAGCUUUGCUGCAACACAGAUGGAACUAAAACAAAAUUGUAUAAUGCUGAAGUGACCCAAGGAGAAAACCUCUCACAUAAUUUUGUGCAGAGAGUGAGUAAGCAGUCUAUGCCACAUCUUCCCCAAAUUUAUAUUUUAGCUGAAAUGUAAUGGUUAGACAGAUAGUCAGUAAUUGGUACAGUGAGAAGAGAAAUUAGUUCUGACUUAUCUUCUCUCCAAACUGCAAAGUGUAUUUUUAUAUACAAUUUCAGAAUGAUAAUAAAAUGAUCUAGUUUCCAUUUAUCAAAAUGAGCGAUGCUGAAUGUCUGAUGACUGGCUUGCUUUCUGAAAUCUUAUUUUAGAGUUAUCAGACUGUCUGAGAUCUUUGGGAAACUUCUGCAUUAAGUGAGCCAAUUGGCAAAUAAACAUCUACUUAACAUGUACAAAACUAUACAAGGCUGAGAUACAGAGGAUGUGGCAGAGAUGAUCAGUGGUCAUCUCAGAAUGGUCUCUGAACCAGCAGCAUCAGCAGCACCUUGGAACUGAUCAGAAAUGCUUACCUUACACAUAUUGGAUCAGAAACUCUAUGGAGAGGCUGGGCAGUUGUGUUUUAACAAGCCCCAUGAUGUACGCUAAAGUUAUCUAAGAACUCUGAUCCCAAGAAACAACUUAAAAUACACACACACACAGGAGUCAGCUCUGGAAAAGAGGAAAUAUUGUGUCAUUAGCAUAUCAGAAAAUUUGAAGAAGCCCUGAAAGAGCAAAGCUGAUGUGUUCACAUUCGCAGAGGAAACCAUAGCCCAAAUAAUGUAGAAAAAAAAUAUAUUAGUAAGGGAAUGAGAAUGUUUUAGGAGGAACUCCAGAAUAGGAGAAUACUAAAAAUGGCAGGGGC